UAACCGGAAGAAGGUAAUUAACGAGACUUCUUUACAUUAGCGCUAUAACGUUCGUCUAAUUUAACAAGCAAAAUGUCAAAAGUUGACCAAUCGAAAAAAUUUGUUAAUUGUACACGUUUGACGCUGAAAAGCAUGUAGGUCCGGUGCGCUGCCUAAUUUUAUAGUGUUUAUGAACUAUAUAACUUAAAUAAUAAUAAGUUUUAAAUAAUUCGUUGUUUUUAAUCAGCGAAGUAGGUGUCGUUCGUUAAGAUAUAAGUUUCCUGUUCAGAUACAACAGCAGUCUAAAGUUAUACGUGGUGUAUUACUGUACACAUGACAUCAACCGGAAAAAUUGACGAGAUUACUUUAUGCUAAAAUGAUUUCCUAGGUAACACCGGUGCAGCUUUCAGUUCAAUAUUUUUUGUAAAGCGCACUGUGGGUUAUCUUGAAAGUCAUUUGGAUAUACUUCAUCUCCUGAUUCCUCGAGUUUCCUGCAGAUCGGAGUUACCCGUACAAGAAUGCAAUCUCUUCAUUAGUUUUAAAUUCUAAAUAACAAUCAAUAUUGAAAAUAAAUUACCUAUUCAUGUUU